rnacentral:lncRNA from 1 species
CUGUGAUGCCCCGCUCUUUUAAAUACAUAUUAGAAUAAAUAGUUGCAUUAAUUACGAUAUUUCUUUUGCAUAUUUAAUUAUCACUUGAGAUUAUUAUAUUAAGAUAAUAUUAUUUCAGCAAAAGUCUGUAUAAGAGAUGCAGAGUUGCGAUUUAAUAUUCAGUCACGAAUCAAACCAAUAAUUAAAUUUAUUGGUUUAGCUACAUGUUUGAAACUUUA